rnacentral:misc_RNA from 1 species
AAGUCGUAACAAGGUUUCCGUAGGUGAGCCUGCGGAAGGAUCAUUAAUGAGAAGCGGCCUCGCGGCCGUGGGGGCUUCGGUCCCCGACUCACACCCUCUGUUUACAUACGUUUGUCGCUUUGGCGGGCCUUGGGGUCAUACCCAUGCGUCUCAAGGGCCGCUCCGGUGACGGACAGCCUGGCGCGUGCGCCCGUCAAAGGCCCUAUCAAUUCUGUUUAUCAGUGUCGUCCGAGUAAAAACCAAAUAAAUUAAAA